rnacentral:rRNA from 13 species
AUCGCAACGAUUGCGACCCCAGGUCAGGC